rnacentral:rRNA from 1 species
AAGACCUUGCACUUUUGGAGCGGCCGAUGUCUGAUUAGCUAGUUGGUGGGGUAAUGGCCUACCAAAGCUUCGAUCAGUAGCUGGUCUGAGAGGACGGCCAGCCACACUGGGACUGAGACACGGCCCAGACUCCUACGGGAGGCAGCAGUGGGGAAUUUUGGACAAUGGGCGCAAGCCUGAYCCAGCCAUGCCGCGUGAGUGAAGAAGGCCUUCGGGUUGUAAAGCUCUUUCAGCCGGGAAGAAAAGGUUGCGAUUAAUAAUCGCAAUUUAUGACGGUACCGGAAGAAGAAGCGCCGGCUAACUACGUGCCAGCAGCCGCGGUAAUACGUAGGGUGCGAGCGUUAAUCGGAAUUACUGGGCGUAAAGGGUGCGCAGGCGGUUUUGUAAGUCAGAUGUGAAAUCCCCGGGCUUAACCUGGGAACU